rnacentral:rRNA from 1 species
AGCGGCGGAUGGGUGAGUAACACGUGGGGAACCUGCCCCUAAGUCUGGGAUACCAUUUGGAAACAGGUGCUAAUACCGGAUAAUAAAGCAGAUCGCAUGAUCAGCUUUUGAAAGGCGGCGUAAGCUGUCGCUAAGGGAUGGCCCCGCGGUGCAUUAGCUAGUUGGUAAGGUAACGGCUUACCAAGGCGACGAUGCAUAGCCGAGUUGAGAGACUGAUCGGCCACAUUGGGACUGAGACACGGCCCAAACUCCUACGGGAGGCAGCAGUAGGGAACCUUCCACAAUGGACGCAAGUCUGAUGGAGCAACGCCGCGUGAGUGAAGAAGGUUUUCGGAUCGUAAAGCUCUGUUGUUGGUGAAGAAGGAUAGAGGUAGUAACUGGCCUUUAUUUGACGGUAAUCAACCAGAAAGUCACGGCUAACUACGUGCCAGCAGCCGCGGUAAUACGUAGGUGGCAAGCGUUGUCCGGAUUUAUUGGGCGUAAAGCGAGCGCAGGCGGAAAAAUAAGUCUAAUGUGAAAGCCCUCGGCUUAACCGAGGAACUGCAUCGGAAACUGUUUUUCUUGAGUGCAGAAGAGGAGAGUGGAACUCCAUGUGUAGCGGUGGAAUGCGUAGAUAUAUGGAAGAACACCAGUGGCGAAGGCGGCUCUCUGGUCUGCAACUGACGCUGAGGCUCGAAAGCAUGGGUAGCGAACAGGAUUAGAUACCCUGGUAGUCCAUGCCGUAAACGAUGAGUGCUAAGUGU